rnacentral:rRNA from 1 species
AUUGAACGCUGGCGGCAGGCCUAACACAUGCAAGUCGAACGAGUGGCGGACGGGUGAGUAAUGUCUGGGAAACUGCCUGAUGGAGGGGGAUAACUACUGGAAACGGUAGCUAAUACCGCAUACCAUCAGAUGUGCCCAGAUGGGAUUAGCUAGUAGGUGGGGUAACGGCUCACCUAGGCGACGAUCCCUAGCUGGUCUGAGAGGAUGACCAGCCACACUGGAACUGAGACACGGUCCAGACUCCUACUUUGCACAUCAGUUUAUAAUAUUGCACAAUGGGCGCAAGCCUGAUUCAGCCAUGCCGCGUGUAUGAAGAAGGCCUUCGGGGUGUAAAGUACUUUCAGCCGGGAGGCGUUACCCGCAGAAGAAGCACCGGCUAACUCCGUGCCAGCAGCCGCGGUAAUAC